AACACCUUAUUUGAUUUUCUUCGGAACUGAAGAUUUGGUGAUUGAGUGGCGGACGGGUGAGUAACGCGUGGGUAACCUGCCCUGUACAGGGGGAUAACAGUCAGAAAUGACUGCUAAUACCGCAUAAGACCACAGCACCGCAUGGUGCAGGGGUAAAAACUCCGGUGGUACAGGAUGGACCCGCGUCUGAUUAGCUGGUUGGUGAGGUAACGGCUCACCAAGGCGACGAUCAGUAGCCGGCUUGAGAGAGUGAACGGCCACAUUGGGACUGAGACACGGCCCAAACUCCUACGGGAGGCAGCAGUGGGGAAUAUUGCACAAUGGGGGAAACCCUGAUGCAGCGACGCCGCGUGAGUGAAGAAGUAUCUCGGUAUGUAAAGCUCUAUCAGCAGGGAAGAAAAUGACGGUACCUGACUAAGAAGCCCCGGCUAACUACGUGCCAGCAGCCGCGGUAAUACGUAGGGGGCAAGCGUUAUCCGGAAUUACUGGGUGUAAAGGGUGCGUAGGUGGUAUGGCAAGUCAGAAGUGAAAACCCAGGGCUUAACUCUGGGACUGCUUUUGAAGCUGUCAGACUGGAGUGCAGGAGAGGUAAGCGGAAUUCCUAGUGUAGCGGUGAAAUGCGUAGAUAUUAGGAGGAACAUCAGUGGCGAAGGC
rnacentral:rRNA from 1 species